UACGAAGGUCCCGAGCGUUGUUCGGAAUCACUGGGCGUAAAGGGAGCUUAGGCGGCGUGGUAAGUCAGAUGUGAAAUCCCGGGGCUCAACCCCGGAACUGCAUCCGAUACUGCCGUGCUAGAGGAUUGGAGAGGUAGCUGGAAUUCUUGGUGUAGCAGUGAAAUGCGUGGAUAUCAAGAGGAACACUCGUGGCGAAAGCGAGCUACUGGACAACUCCUGACGCUGAGGCUCGAAGGCCAGGGUAGCGAAAGGG
rnacentral:rRNA from 1 species